GGAAUCUGAGAGAGUUGAUCAACGAGCGACUAACUGCUGCUGACGAAAUAUUCACGGAGUUUGAGAAAACCAUCGUCCAGUACGAGGAGGAGAUCGAUCGUCAGCGCAGACUGCUGGAUAACAUUUGGAAACCACAGAUAACACAACACACAGCAGGUCUCCCACAGCAGCAUGUUGUAAGGAGCAUGAGGUUUUGUCUGACCAGCAACUCAGUAACCAGAAGAGUAACUCCAGUCUGGAUCAUGACAACCAAGAGCUUCCACUGAUUACAGAUGAACAGGAAGAACUCUGCACCAGCCUGGACCAGGAGGACCUGGAGCCUCCAAUGAUUACAGAGGAACAGGAGGAAUUCUGCACCAAUCAGGAGGGAGAGCAGCUUGUUGUGAAGCAGGAGACUGAUACCUUUAUGGUGACUGUUACUUAUGAGGAAAGUGACCACAGUGAACCAGAACAAACAGUGACCAGCUCCUCUCUUCCAAUUCCUCUGUAGCUGAGAGUCCAGAUCAGGAAGGAAUCAAGCAGGCAGACCCGCAAUUAACUAGAAAUGCAGUGCUAAGGUCAACAGAGAGACGUGACAGAAACAGCAGUCACAGUAAGAAUGUAGACAGCUCUCUCAUGUCAGAGAGUCACUGUGAUGCUGAUACAGGUAAAAAGUCAGUACCAUGUGAUAUCUGUGGAAAAACCUUUAAAGGUAAGUCCAAAUUGAAGGAACAUCACAGAAUUCACACAGGUGAGAAGCCAUUUCAUUGUGAAACAUGUGGAAAAGUGUUCAGUCAAAGUUGUAAAUUGAAAGUCCACAUGAGAACUCACACAGGUGAGAGACCUUACCCUUGUAACAUCUGUGGAAAGAGAUUUAGUGAUGUUUCAGCAUUUAAAAAGCAUUCAGCAACUCACACAGGUGAGAAGCUGUACUCUUGUACAACCUGUGGGAAAAGUUUCAGUCAAAGUGGUAAUUUGAAAGUCCACAUAAGAACUCACACAGGAGAGAGACCUUACCCUUGUAACAUCUGUGGCAGAAGAUAUAAUGGAAUAUUAUGGCUGAGAAAGCACAUGUCAAUUCACACAGGUGAUAAACCUUUUGUUUGUAACACCUGGAAAAGGGUUUUCUGACACAUCAGUGUUUAAAAGGCAUGCAGCAAUCCACAAAGGAGAGAAGCCAUUUUCUAGUGAAAUAUGUGGAAACGGUUUUAGUCGUGGGGAUCAUUUAUUACUCCACAUGAGAAUCCACACAGGUGACAAACCAUACAUUUGUAACACCUGUGGAAAAAUAAAUUUAGUGACCUUCCAGCAUUUAAAAGUCACACAACAAAACUGUGUUGAAUCUGGAAGUUUAUGUCUUUUCUGUGAUUCAGGAACAGCUCAGCUCCUCACUGAAACUCUCCUUUAGCUGAAAACCACAACCAUCAUGAAUAUUGGUUGGACACUGAUUAGUUGUUUCAGCAGCAACUUAUAAAAUUAUGUUCAAUCAACAAAAGUAAUUUAUUUUCAACAAACAUGAGUACAUUGUGUUGAUUCAAAGAAACUGAAUUUUUCUUCAAUAAAGUAAAUUCAAAUCUUUUAUCAUUUUGCAUAAUUUGCUCAUUUCAUUGUAGCGUUAUUUAUUAGUUUAUUAUUUCAGUGUCAAUUAAAUGUUUUUGGAAUUCCAGUAAAAUGUGACAUUAAGUCAAUUUAAAAAAGGAAUGUAAAUAUUAAAACUGAUUUGAAAUAUAAACAAAAUGAAACAGUCAGCAAUCAGUUAUUUCUGUUUUAUUUCUCAGGUUUUUAGUUUUUCUCUUUUUUUCACAUUAUACAUUCUUGUCCCCAUUGACAAUGAUGACAGUUUUGUUGAAAGCCUUUAUUCCAGAUCUUGGAUAAACACCAGUUUUUACACUUUACAUGUUAAAAUGUCAAAUGUUUUCUACCCAGAAGGUCUGUGGAUCCCAGUGUUUUAACCUGAUGACACCAAUUUGCUUCAUUAUCAAACUGUCUUGUGUCUCCGUCUGUCAUUUCAACCAGUGAUGUCUGAAGAAGAAUGACAUUUUGUACCAUGAACUUUUCCAGAGUUAUUGUUCUGAACCUAUUUAUUAAAAUCCAAACAUGCUCA